CACCCUAUGAGGAAAGAACUCCCAAAAAUUGAUAGGAAGUGCCGUAUGACACUCUAAACACAGCGCCAAUUUUAAGAACGCUCUCAUCCACCGAUGUCAUCGGUCGAGAGCGUUCUUUGUGGUGCUGUGUGUGUGAUUUGAAACGGGUCUCUGAGGGUU
rfam:Glycine max cultivar Williams 82 chromosome 6, whole genome shotgun sequence.